rnacentral:lncRNA from 1 species
GGCGUGGGGCUGCCGGAGAAUCCAGUGCUCCCCAGGGACCCGGGGCGGAAGCCAGCCACGCUGGCGGCGGCGUCUGCCACGUAGGCCUGGUCCCACAGAGAUGGGUUCACGGCGGGUGCCGACCCCACGUGGUGGUGGUGGUGGUGGUGGUGGGGGUGGUGCAUGGGUAGAAUGGGGUUCAGGAGGUGGGAUGGGCCCCUGGAGAAGCCGCUGAACUGUGGGGGAGUGGGGAUGGGGUUGACCCUCGAGGGAGAGGUUGACCAUACCAUGUGCCGGGGGGGAGGCGGAGGAUGGUAGGAGUUGGAGCUGCCCCAGACGUACUGAUGAGGCCCAUGGAGAGGGCAGCCGCCGCCAUUCCCUGACGACCCAAAAGC